rnacentral:rRNA from 1 species
UACAGAGGGGGCAAGCGUUAUUCGGAAUUAUUGGGCGUAAAGGGCGCGUAGGCGGUGCGGUAAGUCACCUGUGAAAUCUCUGGGCUCAACUCAGAGUCUGCAGGCGAAACUGCCGUGCUGGAGUAUGGGAGAGGUGCGUGGAAUUCCCGGUGUAGCGGUGAAAUGCGUAGAGAUCGGGAGGAACAUCUGUGGCGAAGGCGGCCAUCUGGGACCAGCACUGACACUGAGGCACGAAAGCGUGGGGAGCAAACAGG